GCCCAGUUGAUGAGUCCCAAAUAGGACGAAAUGUGCAUCCUGGAU
rnacentral:hammerhead_ribozyme from 1 species